UCCCUGGUGGCUCAGAGGUUAAAGCGUCUGCCUCCAAUGCGGGAGGCCCGGGUUCGAUCCCUGGGUCGGGAA
rfam:Ovis aries breed Texel chromosome 11, whole genome shotgun sequence.